ACACACCAUGAAUGCAUCAGCGACAGUGAAUGUGAUACUUACAUGUCAUGCUGCCAGAACUCAGGGGCAGACUACUCGGUCUGUGUUCCUCACAAAGACCACGUGCUUCCGAAAGAGAAAUCCCAUCAGUCCCUUAGUAGCGGGCAGAAAAUGCACCAUAAAGACAAAGGCCACGUUUUUCAUUUGCCACAGCCCUCCCCUAUUCCUAUUCCAAUUCUUGAGAAGGCAACUCAUAAAAGCAAGUCAUGAAAAAAUUGAACUAUCCACGCAUGAAAGCAAAUCAUGAGAAAAUUGAUAUUAUCUAAAUAUCGCACGCUACCUCUUAAAGCAGAAAUUCCUUUGGGUGAAAGAACUGCGUUGUAUUGAGCAUUGUACGGGUAUGUCUGUUUGCAAGUUACAUAAAAUGUAUGGAGAGGAGAUUCCAUAUCUAUUUUGAGCUUGUCUUCAUAUGGAGAAUGAAAAGUUUUUGGCAGAGUUUUUGGUAGAAAUGAGCAAGCAGAGGAAAGAGACCGAUGGUCUGAGCAUGUUGGCCAACCCAUAUCUGUCUGCAAACCAGAACUGGAUCCAGAUGAUAAAUGCAACCACUUGUGUAAUUUGCAAUUUUGUUUAAAUUAAUGUCAAGUGCCCAAGAGAGGAUGAUGUAUAUCAAAUGACAGUGUAUUGUCUUCAUUACAACUGAGAGGAGUGAAAUAUGUACGUGCAUCUGGUAUUUUUGUUGUUUUAUACAAGAUGUAUGUUGGUAAUUAAAAAAUGUAACAUGUC
rnacentral:misc_RNA from 1 species